rnacentral:tRNA from 1 species
GCCUGGGUGGCUCAGUCGGUUAAGCGUCUGUCUUCCACUCAGGUCAUGAUCCCACGGUUUAUGAGUUCGAGCCCCAUGUCAGGCU